rnacentral:rRNA from 1 species
GACGAACGCUGGCGGCGUGCUUAACACAUGCAAGUCGAACGAGUGGCGAACGGGUGAGUAAUACGUGAGUAACCUGCCCUCUUUUUGGGAUAAGCCUUGGAAACGGGGUCUAAUACCGGAUAAAGGGGGAUGGGCUCGCGGCCUGUCAGCGUGUUGGUGGGGUUAUGGCCUACCAAGGCGGUGGCGGGUAGCCGGCGUGAGGGGGUGAACGGGCAAAUUGGGGAUGAGGUACGGCCCAAACCUCUACGGGGAGCAGGAGGGGGGGAUAUUGCACAAUGGGCGAAAGGCUGAUGCGGCCACGCCGCGGGGGGGAUGAAGGCCUUCGGGUUGUAAACCUCUUUCGGUAACGAACGGGUAGGUGGAGAAGAAGCGCCGGCUAACUACGUGCCAGCAGCCGCGGUAAUAC